GACGAACGCUGGCGGCGUGCCUAAUACAUGCAAGUUGAGCGCUGAAGGUUGGUACUUGUACCGACUGGAUGAGCAGCGAACGGGUGAGUAACGCGUGGGGAAUCUGCCUUUGAGCGGGGGACAACAUUUGGAAACGAAUGCUAAUACCGCAUAAAAACUUUAAACACAAGUUUUAAGUUUGAAAGAUGCAAUUGCAUCACUCAAAGAUGAUCCCGCGUUGUAUUAGCUAGUUGGUGAGGUAAAGGCUCACCAAGGCGAUGAUACAUAGCCGACCUGAGAGGGUGAUCGGCCACAUUGGGACUGAGACACGGCCCAAACUCCUACGGGAGGCAGCAGUAGGGAAGCUUCGGCAAUGGACGAAAGUCUGACCGAGCAACGCCGCGUGAGUGAAGAAGGUUGUCGGAUCGUAAAACUCUGUUGGUAGAGAAGAACGUUGGUGAGAGUGGAAAGCUCAUCAAGUGACGGUAACUACCCAGAAAGGGACGGCUAACUACGUG
rnacentral:rRNA from 1 species